rnacentral:rRNA from 1 species
AUUGAACGCUGGCGGCAUGCUUUACACAUGCAAGUCGGACGGCAGCGGGGUAGUGCUUGCACUACUGCCGGCGAGUGGCGAACGGGUGAGUAAUAUAUUGGAACGUACCGAGUAAUGGGGGAUAACCAAUCGAAAGAUUGGCUAAUACCGCAUACGCUCUGAGGAGGAAAGCAGGGGACCUUCGGGCCUUGCGUUAUUCGAGCGGCCAAUAUCUGAUUAGCUAGUUGGUGGGGUAAGGGCCUACCAAGGCGACGAUCAGUAGCGGGUCUGAGAGGAUGAUCCGCCACACUGGGACUGAGACACGGCCCAGACUCCUACGGGAGGCAGCAGUGGGGAAUUUUGGACAAUGGGCGCAAGCCUGAUCCAGCCAUGCCGCGUGUCUGAAGAAGGCCUUCGGGUUGUAAAGGACUUUUGUUAGGGAAGAAAAAGGAGCGGUUAAUACCCGUUUCUGCUGACGGUACCUAAAGAAUAAGCACCGGCUAACUACGUGCCAGCAGCCGCGGUAAUACGUAGGGUGCGAGCGUUAAUCGGAAUUACUGGGCGUAAAGCGAGCGCAGACGGUUACUUAAGCAGGAUGUGAAAUCCCCGGGCUCAACCUGGGAACUGCGUUCUGAACUGGGGUAGCUAGAGUAUGUCAGAGGGGGGUAGAAUUCCACGUGUAGCAGUGAAAUGCGUAGAGAUGUGGAGGAAUACCCGAUGGCGAAGCAGCCCCCCUGGGA